GCACGGCGGCGAGCCGUGUCCGCGGUGGGACUCAGCRUGGCGUGCUUGCACCUCGGGUGCCGYGGCYCCCGCUCCGGCGAGUCUUYCCGGCCGAGGUCRGGGAAGCGUCGGCGGCGGGAGAGYYGCGGUGCCGCCYGCGCAUUUUCCGCCCGGACUCGUCAGCGAGGAUCGCCUCGGGCCCAGAAGAGCCGCGGGGUAGGUGACUCGGCGGCGGCCYCGGCCCCGUCGAGAGCUUAUAGCCCGCGGCUGCGGCCGCGGUCGCGGCCCGAGCGUCGAUCGAGGCGCGUUUGCGAGCGUGGAUUCGCCGGAGAGGCCGGGCGACUCGGGACGGGCGAUUGCCCGCCCCUCGCCCCGGCUCCGACGCUGGCGUCGAGUCGCUGCCGUGCGACCCGUCUUG
rnacentral:sRNA from 1 species